GUGAGUCAUCGAAUCUUUGAACGCGACAUUGCGCCCCUUGGUAUUCCAGGGGGCAUGCCUGUUUGAGCGUCAUUUCCUUCUCAAAUAGAAAUAUUUGGUUGUGAGUGACACUCUCUCGAGUUAGCUUGAAAUUGUUGGCCGUUUAGUGUCAUGAUUGCAGUUAAUUUUGUUCUAUGGAAAUAGGAUUUUGUUAAUUUGUCGUAUUAGGUUUUACCAACUCGAUGAAGAAAUCUUAUUAACGCAGGAUAGAUUAGUUGUGAGGGCACGGCAAACAGUACUCUUUAAGUUUGACCUCAAAUCAGGUAGGAAUACCCGCUGAACUUAA
rnacentral:rRNA from 1 species